UUACCAGAUAUAUAUAUAAAUAAUCCUUGUGGUAAAUACUAGUAUUCAAUGCUCACUUGCCCUCUCAUGCUAUCAACCCAACAACGACAACAAACAAACAAACAAACAAACAAACAAGAAGAAAAGUACACAUGUUAAAUUAUUGUAUAAUUUAUGCAAAACCAUACAUUUAUCUCCACAACCGUAUUAUACCAUGAAUUUCUCCCAAACAUCUUUACAAAGCCUGCAC
rnacentral:lncRNA from 1 species